rnacentral:rRNA from 1 species
UACGAAGGGGGCUAGCGUUGUUCGGAAUUAUUGGGCGUAAAGAGCUCGUAGGCGGUUUGUUGCGUCGGCUGUGAAAUCCCGAGGCUCAACCUCGGGUCUGCAGUCGAUACGGGCAGACUAGAGUGUGGUAGGGGAGAUCGGAAUUCCUGGUGUAGCGGUGAAAUGCGCAGAUAUCAGGAGGAACACCGGUGGCGAAGGCGGGUCUCUGGGCCGAUACUGACGCUGAGGAGCGAAAGCGUGGGGAGCGAACAGG